UACGGGGGGAGCAAGCGUUGUUCGGAUUUACUGGGCGUAAAGGGCGCGUAGGCGGCCACCGCAAGUCACUUGUGAAAUCUCCGGGCUUAACCCGGAAAGGUCAACUGAUACUGCGGGGCUAGAGUGCAGAAGGGGCAACUGGAAUUCUCGGUGUAGCGGUGAAAUGCGUAGAUAUCGAGAGGAACACCUGCGGCGAAGGCGGGUUGCUGGGCUGACACUGACGCUGAGGCGCGAAAGCGUGGGGAGCGAACAGG
rnacentral:rRNA from 1 species